rnacentral:tRNA from 6 species
CGGACUUAAAAUCCGUCGACUUUAAAAAUCGUGAGGGUUCAAGUCCCUCUAUCCCCA